CCUACGGGAGGCAGCAGUGAGGAAUAUUGGUCAAUGGACGAGAGUCUGAACCAGCCAAGUAGCGUGAAGGAUGACUGCCCUAUGGGUUGUAAACUUCUUUUAUAAAGGAAUAAAACGAGGCACGUGUGCCUUUUUGCAUGUACUUUAUGAAUAAGGAUCGGCUAACUCCGUGCCAGCAGCCGCGGUAAUACGGAGGAUCCGAGCGUUAUCCGGAUUUAUUGGGUUUAAAGGGAGCGUAGAUGGGUUGUUAAGUCAGUUGUGAAAGUUUGCGGCUAAACCGUAAAAUUGCAAUUGAUACUGGCAGUCGUGAGUACAGUUGAGGUAGGCGGAAUUCGUGGUGUAGCGGUGAAAUGCUUAGAUAUCACGAAGAACCCCGAUUGCGAAGGCAGCUUACUAAACUGUGACUGACAUUGAUGCUCGAAAGUGUGGGUAUCAAACAGGAUUAGAUACCCCUGUAGUC
rnacentral:rRNA from 1 species